rnacentral:rRNA from 1 species
CGGGUUGUAAACCUCUUUGGUAGGGAAGAAGCGUAAGUGACGGUACCUGCAGAAGAAGCGCCGGCUAACUACGUGCCACCAGCCGCGGUAAUACGUAGGGCGCAAGCGUUAUCCGGAAUUAUUGGGCGUAAAGAGCUCGUAUGCGGUUUGUCGCGUCUGCCGUGAAAGUCCGGGGCUCAACUCCGGAUCUGCGGUGGGUACGGGCAGACUACAGUGAUGUAGGGGAGACUGGAAUUCCUGGUGUAACGGUGAAAUGCGCAGAUAUCAGGAGGAACACCGAUGGCGAAGGCAGGUCUCUGGGCAUUAACUGACGCUGAGGAGCGAAAGCAUGGGGAGCGAACAGGAUUAGAUACCCUGGUAGUCCAUGCCGUAAACGUUGGGCACUAGGUGUGGGGGACAU